rnacentral:rRNA from 1 species
ACUCCUACGGGAGGCAGCAGUGGGAAUAUUGGACAAUGGGGGAAACCCUGAUCCAGCCAUGCCGCGUGUGUGAAGAAGGCCUUCGGGUUGCAGGUUAAUACCCUGUAGCUGUGACGUUACCCACAGAAGAAGCACCGGCUAACUCCGUGCCAGCAGCCGCGGUAAUACGGAGGGUGCAAGCGUUAAUCGGAAUUACUGGGCGUAAAGAGCUCGUAGGUGGUUUGUCGCGUUGUCCGUGAAAUCUCACAGCUUAACUGUGAGCGUGCGGGCGAUACGGGCAGACUGGAGUACUGCAGGGGAGACUGGAAUUCCUGGUGUAGCGGUGGAAUGCGCAGAUAUCAGGAGGAACACCGGUGGCGAAGGCGGGUCUCUGGGCAGUAACUGACGCUGAGGAGCGAAAGCGUGGGGAGCGAACAGGAUUAGAUACCCUGGUAGGUC